UAAGUCUGCUGUGAAAGCCCCGGGCUCAACCUGGGAACUGCAGUGGAUACUGGCGAGCUAGAGUGUGUCAGAGGAUGGUGGAAUUCCCGGUGUAGCGGUGAAAUGCGUAGAGAUCGGGAGGAACACCAGUGGCGAAGGCGGCCUGCUGGGCUUUAACUGACGCUGAGGCACGAAAGCGUGGGUAGCAAACAGGAUUAGAUACCCUGGUAGUCCACGCUGUAAACGAUGAUUACUAGGUGUGGGGGGUCUGACCCCUUCCGUGCCGGAGUUAACACAAUAAGUAAUCCACCUGGGGAGUACGGCCGCAAGGUUGAAACUCAAAGGAAUUGACGGGGGCCCGCACAAGCAGUGGAGUAUGUGGUUUAAUUCGAAGCAACGCGAAGAACCUUACCAGGUCUUGACAUCCAACUAACGAAGUAGAGAUACAUUAGGUGCCCUUCGGGGAAAGUUGAGACAGGUGGUGCAUGGUUGUCGUCAGCUCGUGUCGUGAGAUGUUGGGUUAAGUCCCGCAACGAGCGCAACCCUUGCUAUUAGUUGCUACGCAAGAGCACUCUAAUAGGACUGCCGUUGACAAAACGGAGGAAGGUGGGGACGACGUCAAAUCAUCAUGCCCCUUAUGUCCUGGGCUACACACGUAAUACAAUGGUAACGACAGAGGGCAGCUAACCCGCGAGGGCAUGCUAAUCCCUAAACGUUAUCUCAGUUCGGAUUGUAGGCUGAAACCCGCCUACAUGAAGUCGGAAUUGCUAGUAAUGGCAGGUCAGCAUACUGCCGUGAAUACGUUCCCGGGCCUUGUACACACCGCCCGUCACACCAUGAGAGUCUGCAAUACCCGAAGUCAGUAGUCUAACCGCAAGGAGGACGCUGCCGAAGGUAGGGCCGAUAAUUGGGGUGAAGUCGUAACAAGGUAGCCGUAUCGGAAGGUGCGGCUG
rnacentral:rRNA from 1 species